CGUAAGCCAGCAGCGUGCGCUGACAGAGCUGAGAACGCACGCAGUCCUCUUUUCCGAAACGGACCACGCUCACCAUCUCGUCGUCCUGGAAGCGCGACAGCGCGUCAGCCAGGCCGGACUGAACAUGGGACGGUAAAUCACACUGGGUGAUAUCGCCGUUAACAAUGACGGUCACGUUUUCCCCAAGGCGCGUC
rfam:Triticum urartu cultivar G1812 contig1451839, whole genome shotgun sequence.